AGCAGCCGCGGUAAUUCCAGCUCCAAUAGCGUAUAUUAAAGUUGUUGCAGUUAAAAAGCUCGUAGUUGAAUUUCGGGGUCAGCAGGUCGGUCGUGCCACUGGUAUGCACUGGCCUUGCUGAUUCCUCCCUCUUGAUGAGCCGUAAUGCCAUUAAUUUGGUGUUGCGGGGAAUCAGGACUGUUACUUUGAAAAAAUUAGAGUGUUUAAAGCAGGCAAGCGCUUGAAUACAUUAGCAUGGAAUAAUGAAAUAGGACGUUCGAUCCUAUUUUGUUGGUUUCUAGGAUUGACGUAAUGAUUAAUAGGGAUAGUUGGGGGCAUUAGUAUUCAAUUGUCAGAGGUGAAAUUCUUGGAUUUAUUGAAGACUAACUACUGCGAAAGCAUUUGCCAAGGAUGUUUUCAUUAAUCAAGAACGAAAGUUAGGGGAUCGAAGACGAUCAGAUACCGUCGUAG
rnacentral:rRNA from 1 species